rnacentral:lncRNA from 1 species
AUGCACAGUAAAGUAGUUAUGAGAUGAAGAACCAGGCCAAGCUCUUCUAGGAAGAAAAACGAAUAGGAAAUGAAUGACUUUGCUGGACCACACACAGUGAACCACAGGUUGAAGAGCAAAGGAGCCAACCAAUCAUGGACUAAAACCUCAGCAACUGUUGUCUCCCUGAUGUGCUACAGUGAUAGCAAAUGACUACGACAGAAUAGUUGGAAGAGUGGAAGCUGCACCAUAUUUAUUUGCUGAUGAUGCUUCUUUGGGAUAUGGAUUUGAGUAAAGAGUAAACAGAAGAAAAUUGACUCUGGGGAAAAAUACAAAAUGGAAUUAUCAGGCAAUCCAGAAUUUCACUGAAGGUUAAUGUUGUUUGAAAUUUUGUCAGCAGAAUGACUCUAUUUUCUUGUUCUUUUCUUUUCUUACAGCCAAAUUAUGGUAUACUGAGGCACAGAGUAAUAAGGGGUUUGACUUAGCCCAUAAUAAACAUUUGUAACACGAGAAUAACAGGGCAAGACAUUCCAAAGUGAAAUGCUAGGUGAGGAAGAGAAGGUACUGAUAGACAAUAGAAGACAAGCCAAGUAAAGACAAAAGUUAUAUGUGAUCAGAAGAAUGAGAAGAAGAAAAGGAGAACCAAGUGGAUUGUAGCCCCUAAAACGAUCAUUAAAAUUUAAGAGGCAGAGGUGAAAUCAGAGAAAUAGCAGUGAAGAUCAGGGUGUUCAAGACUGAUGCUGCAGCUGUGAUGAUGAACGCAGACCAAAGAUUGAAUUAAAUCCGCAAAUUAUCGGUAAAACAUACCACACCACUGGAUGUUUCUGUGAGAGUGUUCCUGGGAAGAUCAAGCAGCUAGUGAGUCCGGCGCUGACUAUGGGUAAUACUAUCCCAUAAGCUAAGGGCUCCAAUAUGAUUAAAGACCUAAGGAAAAGGCUUAUGCAUGAAUUCUUUCUCUAAAUCCUAACCAAUAUUAUUUGACCUGCUCUCCAGCACAUACCAUGCUAGAAUAAAAUCUCUUAAGCCAUGAGCCUGAAGCACUGCUUCCCUUACAUUGUCAAGUCAUGUAUUUCAUAACAAUGAUUAAAGAAAGGGAUUACUAGC